GCGUGCAUGUGUAAGUUACGUAUGUACUGUAAGUUAAGUAUGUACCAUGUUUGUGUCUUUUAAUGCUUAUUAAAAACAGAGAAACUUUUGUAAAUGUUAUUUAACAAAUAAAUUGAUGAAAAAAAAUCAUAAAUUUGUAAGUUGUUUAAUUUAUUUUAUAGGUUUACAUAAGAUGCAUUGAGAUACUUAAAAAAAUAACGGAUCAUGAUAUAUCCAAAUUGAAAACAUAAUGAAAAAUUCGUUUAAAGUGUCCAUAUAAUUAUGAUAAUUUUAUAUUAAAAAUUUAAUAAUACUUUGCUUAUAUUAUCCAUAUAAUC
rnacentral:lncRNA from 1 species